rnacentral:sRNA from 1 species
UGUUUGUGAAGUUUGUAAAAAAGGUUA